GGCCUGCCCCUUGGCCUGGGAGAGGGAGGAGGGCCCCGCCCCCGGCCCUGGCCGGGCCUUAGCAGCUGCUACCGCAGGCUCCACUACUGAGCGUCGAGCCGGGCGUCUGCGGGAGCGGAGCGUGGUGAGUAGAGACGGGGUUUUUCCAAGUUGGCCAUGCUGGUCUCGAACUCCUGACCUCAGGUCAUCCGCCCACCUCGGCCUUUCAAAGUGCUGGGAUUACAGGCAUGAGCCACCGCGCCCGGCCAAUGGCCCAUUUAAUCUUUCCGACAAUCCUAUGGGGCUCUCACUCUUGUCACCCAGGCUGGAGUUCAUCUCGGCGCACUGCAACCUCUGCUUCCCAGGUUUAAGCAAUUCUCCUGCCUCAGCCUCCCAAGUAACUGGGAUUACAGGUAGAGUUGUUGGCAGAAAUCCUGGGAUAAGAGAACAGUUUCCUGGAAGGUCUGUGCCUCCAACCGGCAGAAAGGUAUUGAGCUUCAUUGAACUCAACAGAGCCAGCAUUUCAUAGCAUCAUGUUCCAGAGAAGGUUGAAGUGGCAUGGCAAUGAUUAGAGACCCUAUUGGGCGUGAACAGUCUCUGACUACCUAGGGAUCUGUGGGCUUACUGCCUUGUGCCCUCAUGGAGACAAGAAGCUCUGGGUUGAAUAACAUGAAGCCCCCGUCACUGCGGCUGAUGCUGGAAGAGCAGGUGCUGGCACUACAGCAGCAGAUGGCUGAGAAUCAGGCAGCCUCUUGGCGGAAGCUGAAGAACUCCCAGGAGGCCCAGCAGAGACAAGCAACCCUUGUGAGGAAGCUGCAGGCCAAGGUGCUGCAGUACCGGAGCUGGUGCCAAGAGCUGGAGAAGCGUCUGGAAGCCACUGGAGGACCACUCCCCCAGAGGUGGGAAAAUGUGGAGGAGUCAAACCUGGAUGAGCUGCUGGUUCGAUUGGAGGAGGAGCAACAGAGGUGUGAGAGUCUAGCAGAGGUGAACACCCAGCUUCGACUGCACAUGGAAAAAGCUGAUGUGGUGAAUAAAGCCCUUAGAGAAGAUGUGGAAAAAUUGACCGUCGACUGGAGCCGGGCCCGGGAUGAGCUAAUGAGGAAGGAGAGCCAGUGGCGGAUGGAGCAGGAGUUCUUCAAGGGCUACCUGAAAGGAGAGCAUGGUCGCCUUCUCAGUCUAUGGCGGGAGGUGGUGACCUUCCGACGCCAUUUCCUGGAAAUGAAGUCAGCUACUGACAGAGAUCUGACAGAGCUAAAGGCUGAGCACGUGAGGCUUUCCGGGUCCCUGUUGACCUGUUGUCUGCGCUUGACUGUGGGAGCACAGUCUCGGGAACCCAACAGAUCUGGGAGAAUGGAUGGGCGGGAACCAGCCCAGCUGCUGCUGCUGCUAGCCAAGACCCAGGAGCUGGAGAAGGAAGCCCAUGAGAGGAGCCAGGAGUUAAUACAGCUGAAGAGUCAAGGGAAUCUGGAGAGGGCUGAACUGCAGGACCGGGUGACUGAGCUCUCUGCUCUGCUGACCCAGUCUCAGAAGCAAAAUGAAGAUUAUGAAAAGAUGGUAAAGGCUCUGAGAGAGACAUUGGAGAUCCUGGAGACAAAUCACACAGAGUUAAUGGAACAUGAAGCAUCUCUCAGUAGGAAUGCCCAAGAGGAGAAGUUGUCUUUACAGCAGGUGAUCAAGGAUAUAACCCAGGUCAUGGUGGAAGAAGGGGAUAAUAUAGCCCAAGGCUCUGGUCAUGAGAGCUCUUUGGAAUUGGACGCUAGUAUCUUCUCCCAGUUUGAUUACCAGGAUCCAGACAAGGCUCUUACUCUGGUGCGUUCUGUGCUGACUCAGAGACGCCAGGCUGUGCUGGACCUAACGCAGCAGCUUGCAGGCUGCCAAGAGGCUGUGAGCUUGUUGCAACAGCAGCAUGAUCAGUGGGAGGAAGAAGGCAAAGCCUUGAGACAGCGGCUGCAGAAGCUCACUGGGGAGCGGGACACUCUAGCAGGGCAGACUGUGGACCUGCAGGGAGAGGUGGACUCUCUUAGCAAGGAGCGAGAGCUGCUGCAGAAGGCCAGGGAAGAGCUGCGGCAGCAGCUGGAGGUGCUAGAGCAGGAGGCAUGGCGCCUGCGAAGGGCAAAUGUGGAGCUUCAGCUGCAGGGGGACUCUGCCCAGGGCCAGAAUGAGGAGCAGCAGGAGGAGCUGCACCUGGCUGUGCGGGAGAGGGAGCGUCUUCAGGAGACGCUGGUGGGCCUGGAAGCCAAACAGUCAGAAUCACUCAGUGAACUGAUCACUCUUCGGGAAGCUCUGGAGUCAAGUCGCCUGGAAGGGGAGUUACUGAGGCAAGAACAAACGGAAGUGACCGCAGCGCUGGCUAGGGCAGAGCAGUCAAUUGCAGAGCUGUCGAGUUCUGAAAACAUCCUGAAGGCAGAGGUAGCUGAUCUUCGAGCUGCAGCUCUCAAGCUCAGUGCCUUAAAUGAGGCUUUGGCCUUAGAUAAAGUUGGGCUGAACCAGCAGCUUCUCCAGUUAGAGGAGGAGAACCAGUCUGUGUGCAGCAGAAUGGAGGCCGCAGAGCACGCAAGAAAUGCUUUACAGGUGGACCUGUCGGAGGCAGAGAGGAGCAGGGAAGUCCUCUGGGGAAAGAACAAUCACCUGGAGGCUCAGUUGCAGAAAGCGGAGGAGGCUGGGGCUGAGCUGCAGGCAGAUCUCAGAGGUAUCCAAGAAGAGAAGGAAGAAAUUCAAAGGAAGCUAAAUGAGUCACAUCACCAGCAGGAGGCAGCCAUGGCUCAGCUGGAGCAGCUGCAUCAAGAGGCAAAACGACAGGAAGAAGUGCUUGCCAGGGCAGUCCAGGAGAAGGAGGCCGUAGUACGAGAGAAGGCAGCUCUCGAGGUGCGGCUGCAGGCCGUGGAGCGCGACCGGCAGGACCUCGCUGAACAACUACAGGGGCUCAGCUCAGCCAAAGAGCUACUGGAGAGCAGUCUGUUUGAAGCCCAACAACAAAAUUCUGUGAUAGAGGUCACCAAGGGGCAGCUGGAGGUCCAGAUUCAAACUGUCACUCAAGCCAAGGAAGUAAUACAAGGGGAAGUGAGGUGCCUGAAGCUAGAACUGGACACUGAACGGAGCCGGGCAGAGCAGGAGCGGGAUGCUGCAGCCAGACAGCUGGCCUGGGCUGAGCAAGAGGGGAAGACUGCCCUGGAGCAGCAGAUGGUGGCCCAUGAGGAGGAGGUGAACCAGCUUCGGGAGAAAUGGGAGAAGGAGCGCUCCUGGCACCAGCAGGAGCUGGCAAAGUCCCUGGAGAGCUUAGAGAGGGAAAAAAUGGAGCUGGAAAUGAGGCUGAAGGAGCAGCAGACAGAAACGGAAGCCAUCCGGGCCCAGAGAGAAGAAGAACGGACACAGGCAGAGAGUGCCCUAUGCCAGAUGCAGCUGGAAACAGAGAAGGAGAGAAUGUCCCUUCUGGAGACACUGCUGCAGACCCAGAAGGAGCUGGCAGAUGCCAGCCAACAACUGGAACGGCUGAGGCAGGACAUGAAGGUCCAGAAGUUAAAGGAGCAGGAAACCACUGGGAUGCUACAGACCCAGCUCCAGGAGGUUCAGCGGGAGCUGAAGGAGGCAGUCCAGCAGCACAGAGAUGACCUUGCUGCCCUCCAGGAAGAGAGCAGCGCCCUGCUGCAGGAUAAAAUGGACCUGCAGAAACAGGUGGAGGACUUGAAGUCUCAGCUGGUGGCCCAGGAUGACUCCCAGAGGCUAGUGGAGCAGGAAGUUCAGGAGAAGCUGAGAGAGACCCAGGAGUAUAACCGAAUUCAGAAGGAGCUGGAGAGAGAGAAAGCCAGCCUGACUCUGUCACUGAUGGAAAAGGAACAGAGACUCCUUGUUUUACAAGAAGCUGACUCUAUUCGACAACAGGAGCUGAGCGCCCUGCGCCAGGACAUGCAGGAGGCCCAGGGAGGACAGAGAGAGCUCAAUGCCCAGAUGGAAUUACUGAGGCAAGAGGUGAAGGAAAAGGAGGCUGACUUUCUGGCCCAGGAAGCACAGCUGCUGGAGGAGCUGGAGGCGUCUCGUAUCAUGGAGCAGCAGCUACGAGCUUCCUUGUGGGCCCAGGAAGCCAAGGCAGCCCAACUACAGCUGCGACUGCGCAGCACAGAAAGCCAGCUGGAGGCAGUGGCCGCAGAGCAGCAGCCUGGGAACCAGGCCCAGGCCCAGCUGGCCAGCCUCUACUCUGUCCUGCAGCAGGGCCUGGGGUCUGUUUGUGAGAGCAGGCCUGAGCUGAGUGGUGGGGGAGACUCUGCUCCCUCCCUCUGGGGCCUUGAGCCAGACCAGAAUGGAGCUAGAAGCCUCUUUAAGAGAGGUUCCCUGCUGACUGCUCUCUCCACUGAGGCAGUAGCAUCUGCCCUCCAUAAGCUUCAUCAAGAUCUGUGGAAGACUCAACAGACUCGGGAUGAUCUGAGGGAUCAGGUCCGGAAACUGGAAGAACGUCUAACUGAUACUGAGGCUGAGAAGAGCCAGGCCCACACAGAGUUGCAGGAUCUGCAAAGACAGCUUUCCCAGAAUCAGGAAGAGAAAUCCAAGUGGGAAGGAAAGCAGAACUCCCUAGAAUCUGAGCUGAUGGAACUGCAUGAAACUGUGGCAUCCUUACAGAGUCGCCUGCGGAGAGCAGAGCUACAGAGAAUGGAAGCCCAGGGUGAGCAAGAGUUACUUCAGGCAGCCAAAGAGAACCUGACAGCCCAGGUGGAACACCUGCAAGCAGCUAUUGCAGAAGCCAGGGCUCAGGCAAGUGCUGCUGGCGUCCUGGAAGACGACCUGAGAACGGCUCGCUCAGCACUGAAGCUGAAAAAUGAGGAGGUGGAGAGUGAGCGUGAGAGAGCCCAGGCUCUGCAAGAGCAGGGUGAGCUGAAGGUGGCCCAAGGAAAAGCUUUGCAAGAGAAUUUGGCUCUCCUGACCCAGACCCUAGCCGAAAGAGAAAGGGAGGUAGAAACUCUGCGGGGACAGAUCCACCAACUGGAGAAGCAACGGGAAAUGCAGAAGGCUGCUUUGGAAUUGCUGUCUCUGGACCUGAAGAAGAGGAACCAAGAGGUAGAUCUGCAGCGAGAACAGAUUCAGGAGCUGGAGAAGUGUAGGUCUGUUUUAGAGCACCUGCCCGUGGCCGUCCAGGAGCGAGAGCAGAAGCUGACUGUGCAAAGGGAGCAGAUCAGAGAGCUCGAGAAGGAUCGGGACACCCAGAGAAAUGUCUUAGAGCAUCAGCUUCUAGAACUUGAGAAGAAGGACCAAAUGAUUGAGUCCCAGAGAGGACAGGUUCAGGAUCUGAAAAAGCAGUUGGUUACUCUGGAAUGCCUGGCCCUGGAACUGGAGGAAAACCAUCACAAGAUGGAGUGCCAGCAAAAACUAAUUGAGGAGCUGGAGGGCCAGAGGGAAGCGCAGAGAGUGGCUUUGACCCACCUUACGCUGGACCUGGAAGAAAGGAGCCAGGAGCUGCAGGUACAAAGCAGCCAGAUCCAUGACCUGGAGAGCCACAGCACCCUUCUGGCAAGAGAGCUGCAGGAGAGGGACGAAGAGGUGAAGUCUCAGCGAGAACAGAUCGAGGAGCUGCAGAGGCAGAAAGAUCAUCUGACUCAGGAUCUCGAGAGGAGAAACCAGGAGCUGAUGCUGCAGAAGGAGAGAAUUCAGGUUCUCGAGGAUCAAAGGACACGGCAGACCAAGAUCCUGGAGGAGGACCUGGAACAGAUCAAGCUGUCCUUGAGAGAGCGAGGCCGAGAGCUGGCCUCUCAGAGGCAGGUGAUGCAGGAACGGGCAGAGGAUGGGAAGGGCCCGAGUAAAGCACAGCGUGGGAGCCUAGAGCACAUGAAGCUGAUCCUGCGUGAUAAGGAGAAGGAGGUAGAAUGCCAGCAGGAGCAUAUCCAUGAACUUCAGGAGCUCAAGGACCAGCUAGAGCAGCAGCUCCAGGGCCUGCACAGGAAGGUGGGUGAGACCAGUCUCCUCCUGUCCCAGCGAGAGCAGGAGAUAGUGGUCCUGCAGCAGCACCUGCAGGAAGCCAGAGAACAAGGGGAGCUGAAGGAGCAGUCACUUCAGAGUCAACUGGAUGAGGCCCAGAGAGCCGUAAGCCAGAGGGACCAGCAACUGGAGACUCUGCAGCAAGAGCAGCAGCAGGCCCAGGGGCAGGAGGAGAGUGUGAAGGAAAAGGCAGACGCCCUUCAGGGAGCUCUGGAGCAAGCCCAAAUGACACUGAAGGAGCAUCAGGAAGAGCUUCUGGACUACAAGGAACAGGCACAAAGGCUUGAGGAAGAGCUGGCAGUGGAGGGACGGCGGGUCCAGGCCCUGGAGGAGGUGCUGGGAGACCUAAGGGCUGAGUCUCGGGAGCAGGAGAAAGCUCUGUUGGCCCUCCAGCAGCAGUGUGCUGAGCAGGCACAGGAGCAUGAGGUGGAGAUCAGGGCCCUACAGGACAACUGGCUGCAGGCCCAGGCAGUGAUCAAGGAACGGGACCAGGAGCUGGAGGCUCUGCGGGCAGAAAGUCAGUCCUCCCGGCAUCAGGAGGAAGCUGCCCGGGGCCGGGCUGAGGCUCUGCAGGAGGCUCUUGGCAAGGCUCACGCUGCCCUGCAGGGGAAAGAGCAGCAUCUGCUUGAACAGGUAGAAUUGAGCCGCAGUCUGGAGGCCAGCACUGCCACCCUGCAAGCUGCCCUGGACAGCUGCCAGGCACACGCUCGGCAGCUGGAGGAGGCCCUGAGGACACGAGAAGGUGAGAUCCAGGACCAGGAACUCCGAUACCAGGAGGACGUGCAGCAGCUGCAGCAGGCACUUGCGCAGAGGGAUGAAGAGUUAAGACAUCAGCAGGAACAGGGGCAGCUGCUGGAGAAGUCUCUGGCCCAGAGGGUCCAAGAGAAUGUGAUUCAAGAGAAGCAGAAUCUGGGGCAGGAGAGAGAAGAGGAGGAGAUAAGGGGGCUUCGUCAGAGUCUAAGGGAGCUACAGCUGACUCUAGCACAAAAGGAACAGGAGAUCCUGGAGCUGAGGGAGGCCCAGCAAAGGAACAACCUGGAAGCCCUACCCCACAGCCACAAAGCCUCCCCAGUGGAGGAACAAUCUUCAAAAUGUUAUUCUUUAGAGCCCAGGCUGCAGCGGAAGCUGGAGCAGCUACAGGCAGCCCUGAGACAGACAGAAGCCAGGGAGAUUGAGUGGAGGGAGAAGGCCCAGGACUUGGCACUGUCCCUAGUGCAGAGCAAGGCCAGCAUCAGCAGUCUGCAGGAGGUAGCCAUGUUCCUUCAAGCCUCUGUCCUGGAGCGAGAUUCAGAACAGCAGAGGCUGCAGGAUGAGUUGGAGCUCACCAGACAGGCUCUGGAGAAGGAGCGGCUACACAGCCCAGGUGCAACCAGCAGAGCAGAACAGGAGUCCGGAGGGGAGCAGGGCAUGCAGCUGGGAGAGGUCUCAGGAGUAGAGGCUGAGCCUAGUCCUGCUGGAAUAGAGAAGAAGCAGCCAUGGAGACAAAGGCUUGAACACCUGCAGCAAGCGGUGGCACGGCUGGAGAUUGACAGGAGCAGGCUGCAGCGCCACAAUGUCCAGCUACGGAGCACCUUGGAGCAGGUAGAGCGAGAACGGAGGAAGCUGAAGAAGGAGGCCAUGCAUGCGGCCCAGGCACGGUCCCUGGAGAUCAGCAAGCACACGGCUUCUCCACCCACACAGCAGGAUGGGAGAAGAGGACAGAAGAACUCAGAUGCCAAGUAUGUGGCUGAACUGCAGAAAGAGGUGGCCCUGCUUCGAGCUCAGCUGACUCUGGAGUGGAAGCAGAAGCAGGAAUACAUCGCCCGCUCAGUACAGACCAGCCGCGAGCUAGCAGGCCUGCACCACAGCCUCUCACACUCACUUCUCGCCGUGGCCCAGGCCCCUGAGGCCACUGUCCUGGAGGCAGAGACCCGCAGGCUGGAUGAGUCCCUGACUCAAAGUCUUACAUCCCCAGGGCCAGUCCUGCUACACCCCAGCCCCAGCACUACCCAAGCCACCUCCAGGUAGUAGCCACAGCCAGGACCACACAGGCAGAAGACUGUACCGUGGUUGCGGCCCCUCUGCACACCUACAGGUUUGCCAAAGGAAAAGCCUGGCUCUGUUAGGCAUUUAGGAGCCCCAGGUCAGCUGGUGUUCCCGGAAAGAAGGAAACCUACAACACUGUGAGGGUCCCACCUCACCUGGGAAUGAGUUUUAGCCUCCUCGAGGGUAUCACCAAUUCCUGCUGGUCCCUGGCUGUGCCGAAUGCAGUGGACGUGACUGGACAACUGGCUCGUUCUGGAAAAACACAAACAUAACAUCAUAGUAGGAUCUGGUACUUUCCAACGUCCCGUUUGGAGGUCCUUACACCGGACCAUGCCUUAGGUAUUUCCCUGGUGGCAAAGUGCCUAUCUGCGGGAAAAUGUCCAGAUUCAUCACAGUUUAAAAAAUUAAGGGUAUACAGUGCAAGAGAAACUCGGAUAGCUGGAGUUCCUCUAUAAUUUUCCCUCUCUCCUUUUUCAGUUUGAGUUCUGAGAGUGCACUCAACAAUAGCUUGACCUGUUGGAUUAUAUGGAAUGCCUGUAGCAUGUACAAUAGUACAAGUUGCACAAAAUUGAGUAACAUAGCAGAAAUACAGGCAGGACCAUUAUCUGUUUUAAGACAAAGAGGCAGACCAAGGGUAGCAAAGGCGGCAAGGCAAAAAUUAAUUACGUUUGGCCGCUUGCCCUGAGAGCGGUUGGGUGAAAAUGAAACAAGAGUAAGUAUCCACCAGCACAUGUAACUAUUGCAAAGGGCCAAAAGAGGGCAAAUGAGUAACAUCCAUUUGCCACAAAGCUUUCAGCUUAAGAGCUCGGGGAUUUACAGCUGAGUUUUGAACUGGGAGGAAAGUUUGGCAGGCAGAGCAAGUUUCAACAAGCUCUCUGGUAAGUGAAAACCGUUCGUGCAGAGCACUGGUGUUGUGAUGAGAUGUUGUAUGGGAUCCUUGUGUCUGGGAAAUAAGUGAGCCCACUAGACGGGUGGAGACAAGACUGUCCACAGUUGCAUUGCCUUCUGUCAGAGGACCUGGGAGAUCCUAGUGUGAUCUGAUAUGUCUAAUAAAUAGUGGAUACUUUCGCUGGUGGAGCAUGCACCAUAGAAUUGUAAACAUUUGAAAAAUCUCUUGAGGCAGAGGCAAUGAGAGUCGUUGCUAAAUGUUGAAUGGCUCCCACCACAUACUUGCUGUCUGGGUAGAUAUUAACUGCCUGUGAGUGAUCUCUGAGAACCAUAUAAACAGCGUAAAGCUCGACUCACUGAGCAGAAGUAAAUGGGGUGGCCUCCACCUGAGAGCUGCUUGCCGUAAGUGGCUUUUUUUUAACGGCUGUCGUCAGUAAACACUAAUUGAGCUAAAGGAACUGGCUGUUUGGACAAUUUUAGGAAAAAUGAACGGAUGUUGUUGUGUAAAUGAAAGUAUUUUAGAGGAAGGAUAAUGACCUACGAUCUGUCCUGUAAAAUUUGCAAAGGCUAGUCCUCAGUCUUGAGCAAAUUGUCAUAGCCAGGAUUGUUGAGUGGUGUUAUAUGGCACAAUGACUGUAUUGGGGUCUCGACCAAAGAUCUAAUAGCAUCGCUCUCUACCCUUAGCUAUCAGAGAAGAAACUGCUGAAUAGUAAGGUUUAAAGACUUAGGUGGGGUGUCAGCCAAAUGUAACCACUGGGAGUCUUUUUGCCACAGCACUGUAGUGGGUGUAUGAGCAGUCUGUAAAUAAUUAGAUCUAAGGGAAGUUGUGGGUUAUUGCGAGUUAACUGAGCCUGAGCUAUGGCUUCUUUCACCUGUAUAAGAACUAAUUUUGCUAGUUCAGUUAAAGUUCUAGAGGAGGUGGGGUCAGGAUCACCUGGCAAAAUUGUAAAAAGUGGUGGUAAUUGGCCAGCAAUCAACUUUAGCAUAGGGCAAAGCCAAUUAAUGCCUCCAAGGAGUUUUUGAAAAUCAUUUAAAGUAUGUAAACAGUCCCAGUGAAUUUGCAGCCUCUGAGGAUGAAUAGUGUGACCAGAAAUGAUUGUUCCUAGAUACUUAAAAGGAGCCAAUUUUUUUUCUUUUUUUUAUUGCAUUUUAGGUUUUGGGGUACAUGUGAAGAACAUGCAAGAUAGUUGCAUAGGUACACACUUGGCAGUGUGAUUUGCUGCCUUCCUCCCCUUCACGUAUAUCUGGCAUUUCUCCCCAUGCUAUCUCUUCCCAACUCCCCACCCCGCGCUGUCCCUCCCCUAUUCCCCCCAACAGACCCCGGUGUGUAGUGCUCCCCUCCCUGUGUCCAUGUGUUCUCAUUGUUCAACACCCGCCUAUGAGUGAGAACAUGUGGUAUUUCAUUUUCUGUUCUUGUGUCAGUUUGCUGAGAAUGAUGUUCUCCAGGUUCAUCCAUGUCCCUACAAAGGACACGAACUCAUCGUUUUUGAUGGCUGCAUAAUAUUCCAUGGUGUAUAUGUGCAACAUUUUCCCUGUCCAGUCUAUCAUUGAUGGGCAUUUGGGUUGAUUCCAUUUACUCAACUGCUAAACAGUGCUGCAAUGAACAUUCGUGUGCAUGUGUCCUUACAGUAGAACGAUUUAUAAUCCUUUGGAUAUAUACCCAGUAAUGGGAUUGCUGGGACAAAUGGAAUUCCUAUUUCUAGGUCCUUGAGGAAUCGCCACACUGUCUUCCACAAUGGUUGAACUAAUUUACACUCCCACCAGCAGUGUAAAAGUGUUCCUAUUUCUCCACAUCCUCUCCAGCAUCUGUUGUCUCCAGAUUUUUUUUUUUUUUUUUGAGAUGGAGUUUCACUGUUGUUACCCAGACUGGGGUGCAAUGGCAUGAUCUUGGCUCACCGCAACCUCUGCCUCCUGAGUUCAAGCAAUUCUCCUGCCUCAGCCUCCCGAGUAGCUGGGACUACAGGCGUGCACCACCAUGCCCAGCUAAUUUUUGUAUUUUUAGUAGAGACGGGGUUUCAUCUUGUUGGCCAGGAUGGUCUCGAUCUCUUGACCUCGCGAUCCACCCGCCUCGGCCUCCCAAAGUGCUGGGAUUAUAGGCAUGAGCCACUGCGCCCGGCCGUUUCCAGAUUUUUAAAUGAUCGCCAUUCUAACUGGCAUGAGAUGGUAUCUCAAUGUAGUUUUUUGAUUUGCAUUUCUCUAAUGACCAGUGAUGAUGAGCAUUUUUUUCAUAUGUUUGUUGGCCUCAUGUAUGUCUUCUUUUGUAAAGUGUCUGUUCAUAUCCUUUGCCCACUUUUGAAUGGGCUUGUUUAUUUUUUUCUCGUAAAUCUGUUUUAGUUCUUUGUAAAUUCUGGAUAUCAGCCCUUUGUCAGAUGCGUAAACUGACAAAAAUUUUUUCCCAUUUAUUGGUUGCCAAUUCACUCUAAUGACUGUUUCUUUUGCCGUGCAGAAGCUGUGGAGUUUGAUUAGGUCCCAUUUGUCUAUUUUGGCUUUUGUUGCCAAUGCUUUUGGUGUUUUGGUCAUGAAGUCCUUGCCUACUCCUAUGUCCUGAAUGGUUUUGCCUAGAUUUUCUUCUAGGGUUUUUAUGGUGUUGGGUCUUAUGUUUAAGUCUUUAAUCCAUCUGGAAUUAAUUUUAGUGUAAGGUGUCAGGAAGGGGUCCAGUUUCUGCUUUCUGCACAUGGCUAGCCAGUUUUCCCAACACCAUUUAUUAAACAGGGACUCCUUUCCCCAUUGCUUGUUUUUGUCAGGUUUGUCAAAGAUCAGAUGGUUGUAGAUAUGCUAUGUUGCCUCCAAGGCCUCUGUUCUGUUCCAUUGGUCUAUAUCUCUGUUUUGGUACCAAUACCAUGCUGUUUUGAUUACUGUAGACUUGUUGUAUAGUUUGAAUUCUGGUAGUAUGAUGCCUCCCACUGUGUCCUUUUUGCUUAGAAUUGACUUGGCUAUGCGGGCUCUCUUUGUUCCAUAUGAAGUUUAAGGUGUUUUUUUCCAGUUCUGUGAAGAAGGUCAUUGGUAGCUUAAUGGGGAUACUGUUGAAUCUUUUAAUUACUUUGGGCAGUAUGGCCAUUUUCACAAUAUUGAUUCUUCCUAACCAUGAACAUGGAAUGUUUCUCCAUCUGUUUGUGUCCUCUCUUAUUUCAUUGAUCAGUGGUUUGUAGUUCUCCUUGAAGAGAUCCUUUACGUUCCUUGUUUGUUGUAUUCCUAGGUAUUUUAUUCUCUUUGUAGCAAUUGUGAAUGGCAGUUCAUUCUUGAUUUGGCUCUCUUUAAGUCUGUUAUUAGUGUAUAGGAACGCUUGUGAUUUUUGCACGUUGAUUUUAUAUCCUGAGACUUUGCUAAAGUUGCUUAUCAGUUUCAGGAGAUUUUGGGCUGAGGCGAUGGGGUCUUCUAGAUAUACAAUCAUGUCAUCUGCAAAUAGACAAUCUGACUUCCUCCUUUCCUAUUUGAAUACCCUUUCUUUCUUUUUCUUGCCUGAUUACUCUGGCUAGAACUUCUAGUACUAUAUUGAAUAGGAGUAGUGAGAGAGGGCAUCCUUGUCUAGUGCCAGAUUUCAAAGGGAAUGCUUCCAGUUUUUGCCCAUUCAAUAUGAUAUUGGCUGUUGGUUUGUCAUAAAUAGCUUUUAUUAUUUUGAGAUACGUUCCAUCAAUACCUAGUUUAUUGAGGGUUUUUAGCAUAAAGGGCUGUUGAAUUUUGUCAAAGGCCUUCUCUGUAUCAAUUGAGAUAAUCAUGUGGUUUUUGUUUUUGGUUCUGUUUAUGUGGUGGAUUACAUUUAUAGACUUCCAUAUGUUGAACCAGCCUUGCAUCCCUGGGAUGAAUCCUACUUGAUCGUGAUGAAUAAGUUUUUUGAUGUGCUGUUGCAAUUGGCUUGCCAGUAUUUUAUUGAAGAUUUUUGCAUCUAUGUUCAUCAUGGAUAUUGGCCUGAAGUUUUCUUUUCUUGUUGAGUCUCUGCCAGGUUUUGGUAUCAGGAUGAUGUUGGUCUCAUAAAAUGAUUUGGGAAGGAUUCCCUCUUUUUGGAUUAUUUGGAAUAGUUUCAGAAGGAAUGGUAUCAGCUCCUCUUUGUAUGUCUGGUAGAAUUCAGCUGUGAUCCCGUCUGGACCUGGGCUUUUUUUUGGGUGGUAGGCUCUUAAUUGCUGCCUCAACUUCAGACCUUGUUAUUGGUCUAUUCAGGGUUUCGACUUCUUCCUGGUUUAGGCUUGGGAGGAGGCAAGUGUCCAGGAAUUUAUCCAUUUCUUCCAGGUUUACUAGUUUAUGUGCAUAGAGUUGUUUGUAAUAAUCUCUGAUGAUGGUUUGAAUUUUUGUGGAAUCUGUGGUGAUAUCCCCUUUAUCAUUUUUAUUGCUACAAUUUGGUUAUUCUCUCUUUUCUUUUUUAUUAAUCUGGCUAGUGGUCUAUUUUGUUGAUCUUUUCGAAAAACCAGCUCCUGGAUUUAUUAAUUUUUUGAAAGGUUUUUUGUCUCUCUAUCUCCUUCAGUUCUGCUCUGAUCUUAGUUAUUUCUUGUCUUCUGCUAGGUUUUGAGUUCUUUUGAUCUUGCUCCUCUAGCUCUUUCCAUUUUGAUGAUAGGGUGUCAAUUUUAGGGUGUCAGUUGGCUCUAAAGGAGCCAAUUUUUACACUUUUUUUGGUACUGUCAUCAGACCAGACUGAGUAAGGGCCAAGUCCAAGUCCCCAAAAAUUUGUCUUAAAGUUUUUUCAGAUGAAUGUCCCACAAGAAUAUCAUCCAUAUAAUGAAUGCUGUAUGCUGGUUUAUAUUUUUGUCUAGUAGAUUUUAAAGUAACUGUCACAAAGGACUGACACAGACUUGGGCUGUAGCCAUCUCUGGAGGAAGCUCUUGUCAACAAACUGUUUAACAGGUGCUUGAACAUUUGGGGAAGGUUCCAAGAAUGUGCAAAAUAUGCCCAGUCGUCUGGAUGUAAGGGGAUGGUAAAAAAGGCAUCUUUAAGAUCCAGAACCAAAAGGUGAUAAUCUAAUGGAAUAGCAGCUGCAGUGGGUAAACCUGGUUGCAGAGCACCCAGAGGCUGCAUUGUGGCAUUAAUGGCGCGAGACUCUUACAGUAACCUCCAUGUGUCUGGACUAAAACUUCACCUGUGUAAUUAGUAUUUAUAACUCCAGGCAGUACUAAAAAAUCUUCUGAAGUAAGACCACUACGCCCAACAACCAGCCCCCACAGUUUCAGGGGCAGUGGCCCCCUAUCACCGCCCUGCACUCCCAGGUAAAAUGUCCAUUUUUGCCACACUGAAAACAAGUUCUAGAUUUCUUUUUAGGACAUUGUCCUGGAAGUUUACCCUGAAGAGUGGAGGCUAAAGUCAAUUUUUGGACAUAUGCCAGACCGACAUCUGCACAAAGGCAAAUGAAGUCAUUUAGAGUAGCCGUAGUCUUGUAAGUUCACAAAAUGGCUUGGCAUGUGUUGUUGGCAUUUUUAAAAGCCAUUUGCUUCGCUAACACAUUGUUGGUUGUUGGGUCAGCUAUAAGCCAUCCUACUGCCUGAAGCAGGCAGGCAAUGAAGUCUGCAUAUGGUUCCUCUGGUCCCUGGACAAUUUUACUGAGUUUUUGGGACUUUUCACCUUUGGCUGGAAGAGACUUCCUUGUCUGUGCAGUACAAAUAUUUAUUUGUCAAUAAGCCUUUAAAGGAUAGCCAAGCUGAUUUUGUAAGGGCUCAAAGUUUUUAUUACUCACUAACAUAUCCAUAGAUACAUCCACAUCAUGAGCUGUACUGUGCUCAGCCUGCUGACUACAUCUAUCAUGGUAAUCAUAUUCCCAUCUUAGAUAAUCUCUCGGAUCCAAGCAUGCUUUUGCAAGGUUAUACCAAUCCGUAGGGGCCAAGGCAUCAUUGGCCAAGGCGUCCGAGAGAGUUAUCACAAAUGGGGAAGUAGGUCCAUAAGAGGCUGAAGCUAUUUUUAAACCUCUGUGUAAUUUAAAAGACAAAAGAUCAUGCUGUCUCAGCAUCUGUCCUGGAUUAUUAGGGUCUGGGCAUACAAGCAUGGGGCAAACCUGAAACCCCUCCACAUCCUCUCCUUGUGCCAUCACCCUAUGUAAAGCAGCCUGCAGCGGGGAGAUCUUAAAAGGAGUUAUAUUAUGUCCCUUGCAUGAGCCUUCUGGGCUUUGGGUCAGUAAAAUUAAGAGCUGCAAACGUUUGAGGCCAAUGGUCCUGCUUCUCUCUAGUUAUUUCAUCCUCUAAUUUUUGUUGAUACUUUGGGGGCAGAGGCUCUUCUGAGCUGUCUCCAUCACCCUCCUCCUCAAAAGAGGAGGCAGUUUCAAGUAAGACUUGGGGUGGCAGAGGGAAGUCCAGAGGUAGCGCAGAAGGCUCGGCUGCCUGGGUAUCUUCACUUGUCUCCUGGCCUUUAGGAGAUGCCGAGAUAGCCUGGACUCCCCUCAGUGUGUUAUAAAGAGCAGUAAUACAGUUCUGUUUGUCUGAAUAUCCUGAAGUUAAAUGAUAAUAAAAUAUUGUGCCAACACAAUAAAGAAAAUUACAGUUUAUUUUAUUUUUUUUUUUUUGAAAAGUCCAGAAGAGACAAAUUUAUAGAGACAAAGUAGACUCAUUUUUUUCUUUAGGGAAAAAGAGAAAAAGAAGGGGAAAAAAAGAAAAAGAGGGAAAAAGGAAUAUUACUUCAUUCCUAAAAUGGGUUUCAAUAAUGGCCGAUCAAUAUUUUGAGUGUUUAAAGUGGUUAAUGCAUAUUUUAUAUGUUUAAAAUGGAGACCUCUAUUGUGUUUAUUUGUUCUGGCUCUGAGUUCAAAUCCUGGAUAUCGUUAUCAAUUUGUUGUCUCGUUGAAUCUAAAUCUCACUAUGUGUCUUAUGUAUCUGGGUGUUAUCUUAUGUAUCUGGGUGUUAAGAUCUCUUAUUGUUACAUUAAUCCUUUUACCCUUGUAUCCUUAUAGCUUUGAAAUCUAUUUUGUCAAAUGUGAAAAUUGCAACUCCUGCUUUUUAUUUAUUUAUUUUUGCUCUCCAUUUGGUUGGUACGUUUUUUUUUUUUCCAACCCUUUAUUUUGAGUCUAUGUAUAUCUUUGGAUAUACCGUUGGAUUUUGUCUGUAUCUUUUGAUUGGGAGAUUUGGUUGAUUUAACUUUAGGGUUGCUGCCAUUUGAUAUUAACUGGCUAUUUUGUCCUUUUGUUGAUAAAAAUUCUUCUUUAUGUUAAUGCUCUUUACUUUUUGGUGUAUUUUUAGAAAGGAUCAUACUGGUUGUUCCUUUCUGUGUAUAAUGCUUCUUUUAGAAGUUCUUGUAAAGCAGGCCUGGUGGUAAUAAAAUCUCUGAGUACUUGCUUGUUCCUAAAAGAUUUUAUUUUUCCUUCAAAUGUAAAGCUUAAAUUGGCAGGAUAUGAAAUUCUGGGCUGAAAGUUUUGUUCUUUAAGUAUAUUGAAUAUUGGCCCCCACUCUCUUCUAGCUUGUAGGGUUUCCGUUGAGAGAUCUGCUGUAAGCCUAAUAGGCUUACCUUUAUGGGUAACUUGAUCUUUCUCUCUGGCUGCCCUUAAUAUUUUCUCCUUCGUUUCGAUCUUGGUGAAUCUAACGAUUAUGUGUCUUGGGGUUGGUCUUCUUGAGGAAUAUCUUUGUGGUGGUCUCUGUAUUGCCUGGGGUUGAAUAGUGUUCUGCUUUGCUAAAUUAGGAAAAUUUUCCUGGAUAAUGUCCUGGAGAGUAUUUUCCAGCUUGAUUUAAUUCUCUCCGUCACAUUCAGGUACACCAAUCAAGCGUAUAUUAGGUCUUUUCACAUAGUCCCAUAUUGCUUGGAGACUUUGCUCAUUCCUUUUUAUCCUUUUUUCUCUAUUCUUGUCUUGUCGUUUUGUUUCAUUAAGUUGGUCUUCAACCUCUGAUACCCUUUCUUCUGCUUGAUCCAUUCGGCUGUUUAAAUUUAUACAUAUUUCACUCAGUUCUCGUGUUGUAUUUUUCAACUCCAUAAGUUCAUUUGUAUUCCUCUCUAUAUUGUCUAUUCUUUUCAACAUUUCAUCGAACCUUUUUUCCAAGUUCUUAGUUUCUUUACAUUGGGUUAGAACAAGUUCCUUUAACUCCCAGAAGUUUCUUAUCAUCCACCUUUUAAAGCCUACUUCAGAUAAUGGAACACAGUCCUUUUCCAUCAGGGCUUGUUCCGUUACUGAUGAGUCCUCUUCCAUCAGGGCUUGUUCGGUUGCUGAUGAGUCCUUUUCCAUCAGGGCUUGUUCGGUUGCUGAUGAGUCCUUUUCCAUCAGGGCUUGUUCCGUUGCUGAUGAGUCCUUUUCCAUCAGGGCUUGUUCCGUUGCUGAUGAGUCCUUUUCCAUCAGGGCUUGUUCGGUUGCUGAUGAGUCCUUUUCCAUCAGGGCUUGUUCCGUUGCUGGUGGGUUCUGAUUUUGAGUAUACUCGGCCUUCUUAGGCUGUUUUUUUCCCUUCAUUAUAGAUGAACCGCCUUUCUAAUUAGUUUUCUGAGUCAACGUCCGACUUACUGAUUCCCAGUGCUGGGAUCCGAGCAACCCACUGUGGCGGCCUAAAUAGCAGCGAUAAGACUGAUUGUGCUCUUCUGCCCGGGAAUCUCUGGUCUGGUUUCCCUCUUGAGUCCGCAACAAGCGGCUCUGACUUCCCGGAGCUCCAAACUCCGGUCAGUAGGGGAAGCAGUCCCGUUGGCUCUGCGUGAAGAGCUGCUGCGCCGAGACGCCGGCAAAACCGCUGCGGCGGCCACAAGAGUCACGCUGGCGACCCGUGGGGCUCCUCCACUGGGAAUCGGCUAAUCGGUGAGUGACGAAAAUUCGUCUAAAGAUGUGGCGUCGUCUCGUUCUCUGAGCUUUCACUGGGAGCUACAAUCCUGAGCUGUUAGUGGUCGGCCAUCUUGAAUCGUGAGCCGCAGAAAAUUACAGUUUAAACAGAAUUACUGAGGAACUGUUUUCUUUUAAACUUGUCUGCCUCAUGUUGGGGGUCUAAAGCAUCCCUAAUCAAAGAACAAAUAGCAAAAGUAUAAACUGGCAUUAUCUGAGGUCCCUCAGCGUGUACUUGUUAUGUAACUGCUGUCCUACUCUUAUCCAAGUAGCUAAACUACUGUGUCCUGUUCUGGAAACCACGGGCAAAUCUGCUGCACAAAGUGUAGACAAUUUUCUAGCUGCUCUUUAUGUACACAUCUUUUACCCUUAAGGAGGGCAAGCAGCACGUUCACAUACAAAGAACUAUCACUAGACAAAGAAUUGCUCAUGCUUAAUGCAAUUAUUACAUGCAGAUUAAGGGGUGAAUUAUGCAGAAAUUUCCCAGGCACGAGCAAUCCUCCUGCCUCAGCCUGGCAACAUGCUGGAAUUACAGGUGCGAGUCACCAUGCCCGGUCAAGAGUCUGAUUUGUUUUUAUUCUUUGUUAAUUAUGGCAGUUGGAUUCUUGGUUUUGGUCAACAGAUUGGUCAACUUCAGAGGAAAACAAUUCGCUGGCUAAAUAUUUAGUAGUUUACAGGAUGAUGCAAAAACUGGAGAACGAGGCUCAGUCCAUCAUCAUGAGAGGUAAAAAACAUGGCCAAAGAUUACCCCAGAAAUGGCCCGCCUGGAAUGCCACCACUGCUGCCAACACAACUGGGCCCUUGACCAGAUUCUUCUCAGCUCUUUGCAUUAGGAAGAGCAGUUAAUUUCCACUCUUCUUGGAUCUGGGGUCACUUUAUGACUUGAUCUGACCACUACAGUGCUGCAGAAGUAACCCUGUAAGGGCCGGGCGCAGUGACUCACACCUGUAAUCCCAGCACUUUGGGAGGCCAAGGCAGGAGGAUUGCUUAAGCCUAGGAGUUCAAGACCAGCCUGGCCAACAUAGUGAGACCCCCUUUCUACAAAAACAAAAAUUAAAAUUAACUGGGUGUGGUGACAUGCAUUUGUAGUCCCAGCUACUCAGGAUGCUGAGGUGGGAGGAUCCCUUGAGCCCAGGAUGUUGAGGCUGCAAUAAGCCAUGAUUGUGCCACUGCGCUCCAGCCUGGGCAACAGAGCAAGCUCCUGUCUCAAACAAACAAACAAAAGGCCGGGGGCGGUGGCUCACACCUGUAAUCCCAGCACUUUGGGAGGCCAUGGCAGGUGGGUCAUGAGAUCAGGAGAUCGAGACCAGUCAGGCAACAUGGCAAAACCCCAUCUCUACUAAAAAUACAAAAAUUAUCCAAGUGCCUCUACUAAAAAUACAAAAAUGGUGCGCUCCUGUAGUCCCACCUACUCGGGAGGCUGAAGCAGAAGAAUCACUUGAACCUGGGAGGCAGAGUUUGCAGUGAGCCAAGAUUGUGCCACUGCACACCAGCUUGGGUGACAGAGCAAGACUCAGUCUAAAAAAAAAAAAAAAAAAUUGGAAUUGGAAUUGGAAUUGGAACUGAGACACCUAAAAGAUAACUGGGAACCUCAAAUGCUAAACCUGUGAAAAGCCAGGGUAGCAAAAAAAAAAAAGAAAGAAAAAACCUCACCCUCCAGCAUGGGUGAACAAGGAGGCUUACUUACUUCUUUUAUCUGAGUGGAAAAAGGGCCUCCCCAACAACUCAAAGUCUGAGUUUGCACUUGGCAUGAAAUUGAAUCUAAACUUACACAUUCUACAUGAUCCAGGGGACCAGGCAAAUAAAUUAAUUCAAGUAUUGCCCCUGAGACCUGGAAGGCAUGUCUGGCCCAUCCCUCCAUCCCUCCCAGACACUGUGCUUGCAGGUAAGAUGAUCAGGCCAGGAUUUUAUUUAGUACCAUACUGAUCUCCAUACAAUUUCCUCUUGCCCUUUUCCCCCAAGAAAUAGGACUUGUGUGGACUGGGCCAAGCAGCCCAGGUGGACAGUGAGCUUGUCCACCUGCUAGCUGAUGGAUGACUUCGAUUUCUGCUUCUGCACUGGAUGUGGGCAAUAUUUCCUUGGUCUGAUUAUCCUUCUCCCAGUGAUAGAAACACUUUCCUUGCUAUUCUGAUCCAAAUCCAAAGAGGGAGACCUGGUGGAUGAGAGAGGGACAGGUGCCUCAUCAGCAGGUGGACUCCUGUCCUUACCGCUGCCUCCCUUUACUCAGCACCUAGGAUGACAGGCUGCCCCUUGGAGCUGGGAGGAGACUGGAGCUCCCCUCUUCCAGGAAACAGACUCUGGACAUGGUGAGAUAAACACACUCCUAUAGUCACCUAGGAGCCCCAAAAAGAGAAUGUCAACUAGCUUCUCUUCAUGACAGUGGAGGAAGACAGAGGAACACCCCAGGACAUAAGGGCGUUCCAGGCAAACGGAAUGGAGCAUGAGAAGGCAUGGGGCAGCUCGUGUGUUUAGGGAAUUCUAAGAGCCCAUAUGAAAGCCUGGGAGACAGGAGGCGAGGGGAGGGGUCAGAACAUGUAGCUUUUUUUUGUUUUUUUUUUUGAGAUGAAGUUUCACUCUUGCUGCACAGGCUGGAGUGCACUGGCGCAGUCUCAGCUCACGGCAACCUCCGCCUCCCGGGUUCAAGCGAUUCUCCUGUCUCAACUUUCCAAGUAGCUGGGAUUACAGGCACCCACUACCACGCCCGGCUAAUGUUUGUAUUUGUAGCAGAGACGGGGUUUCACCGUGUUGGCCAGGCUUGUCUCCAACUCCUGACCUCAGGCGAUUCACUUGCCUUGGCCUCACAAAGUGUUAGGAUUACAGGCGUGAGCCACUGUGCGUGGCCUAAAUGUAGAGUCUUGAAAGCCAAGCAGAAAACUUUAGACUCCAUGCUGAAGGCCUUGAGGAACAGGAAUUUUAAGACAAGAUACAAGAAUCUUUCUUUCCUGGGCACAGUUGUGCAAGACAUGGAACAGAGCCUUGGGCCCCAGGGAUGACCCUCACCCUGGGGAUGCAGCCAGUUUCCCUGGGGAGGAAGGGGGAGGGGACUGACCUGGGGCCCUUCCCCAGCAACCCACAGCCACAUCCUACCCCUUCUCCUAUCCCCCCUCACCAUGUCUUUGCUAUCUUCCACUCCACUAGGGAACUGGACCAUCUUCCAAAAUCUGAGAAAGAAUUGGAGUGUGUUAACCUACCCUGUGUUAGCCUAAUCAACUCAUUCUGAAUUGAAGGAGCUGGACAGACUCCAUCUUAGCUUCUUCACUUAUAGUUAUUUUCCUUCCAUUAAGUAUGUAGCUGUAGUGUGUAGUUGGGGCAAGAUGACACCAAGCACACACAGGAAUGCAUUUACCGAUAAGACACCGAGUCAAGGGGUACCAGUAGCCCCUGGGAAUGCAGGUGUUGCUAAGUACCCAGAGCCCCUAUGUCUAUAAGUUGUAUGUCUUUUGUGACAGCUUAAGCCCCUGCACCUGGAACUGUUUACUUUUUUUUUUUUUUUUGAGACGGAGUUUCGCUCUUGUUACCCAGGCUGGAGUGCAAUGGCAUGAUCUUGGCUCACCGCAACCUCUGCCUCCUGGGUUCAGGCAAUUCUCCUGCCUCAGCCUCCUGAGUAGCUGGGAUUACAGGCACGCGCCACCAUGCCCAGCUAAUUUUUUGUAUUUUUAGUAAACACCGGGUUUCACCAUGUUGACCAGGAUGGUCUCGAUCUCUUGACCUCAUGAUCCACCCGCCUCGGCCUCCCAAAGUGCUGGGAUUACAGGCAUGAGCCACUGUGCCCAGCAAACUGUUUUACUUUUUAUGUACUAGUUUAUCUUUUAACUUUUUGCUUGCUCUGCUUUUGUGAAAAAUUGCUUAAGUUAGGUUCCCCGUCCCCUUCAAAACUAGGGUAAGAAAACCACCUAGGUCUUUCUUCCGGGCCGAGAGAAUUUUGGGCAUUAGCCAUCUCUAGGUCACCAGCAAUAAAGGACUCUCUACUGAGUCUCAGAGUGUGGCGCAUUCCUUUACUCACUCGGGCACAAGAGGAGGUGGGGGAGUUUGGGCCCCAAGACCUGGGGAAGUCUUGCAAGUACCCCAGUAAGCCAAUAGAGGGUCUUCCCAGAGUCCCUGCUGCCAUUCCCUUCAGUGACCUCUCCUCACCCCCACACAGGGAAUGUUUGGGGACCCCUCUUCCAUCACCUCGUCACUCAGAGCAUCUGAAGUCCACACCAGCUCCGAGAGCUUCUGCAGCAGCAUCUGCAGCUGCAUCCAGGAACCCUGGUCACUGGCAUUCCUGGGAUAGAUGAAGCAUUAUGUGUGGUUUGGUUCCCCACUUCCAUCUCAAAGCCCUGUACUGGGGCCCACUUCAUCUUGGGAAGGGGAGCAGAAACUGAUGGAACUGUGGGGCAGGGCUGGCUGGCCCUCCUGCUCCCGCACUCUCCCCCAGCACCCACCUGAAAACCACGGGGUAUUGGUCGAUGUCAUUGCCAAGGCUGGAGCCCUGCAGGAUCUGUGGGUGCCCCAACAGCACACAAGUCCCACAAUAAAAAUCAAAAUGGUUCACCAAGAGCCUGGGAAUCACUUUAAACAGAUUCUUCCACAAUUUCCCAAGCUUGCUCCCCAAGUUCAUGCCCUGGAAACAGCAGGAGGAAGGAGACUGGGGGCUGGGCCCAGGGGACGGAAAACACAGCUGGGUGGGUAAGAUCUCUAUCCAGGGGCUGUGAAGACAGGGCUGAGGCCAGGGGGUUGGGCUGGGAAGAGGGAGAUGGGUGAGGACUGGGAAGCACAGGGGAUGGGACCGGGCCCAGUGUUGACCACUGACCAACCACCAGAGCACAGUGUCAGAGGUCAUAGACUCCCUGGUCCUCAUCAGGUAGCCCAUGGUCUUCCUGGAGCACGCAUCAAGCCAGUUCCAUUCUGUGGCUGGGUGGGGGCAGGAGGAGCAGUUGAGGGUCUCAGAAGGGCAGCCAAACGUCCCAAAACUGAACCAGGGGCAGUUGCAAUGCCGUGGAACCAAGUACAUUCGUUUUUCCUGGGGUGCUGAUUCAGGCGUCAGAUCCAGAUAGGGGGCCAUCAGCCAGAGGAUGAGCACCCAAAAGAUCCACAGAACAAAAAUCUGCCAGCGCUUCAUGUCUGUCCCAGGCGGUGGCUCCGUGGCGGGCCCAAGACUGGCUUAUCUACCUGGGUGAGGGGCUGAGGCCACGACAACACCAGCUUCCCUCUGUCCUGUCGGCCUCCACGCUCCCCAUCCCAACACCCCUCACCUCCUUCCAACCCCUCCCUCCUCUCCUGCCUCACUAUCCAUUUGCUCACCCCCAAAAAGGACAACUGGGCAUGGGAAGAGGCCAGGGCAGAGAGACAGCAUGUGGUUAGCCCUGUGGAGGGAGGGAAUACCUCUCAGUAGGGUCCUUGGUGUUCCCAGCUAUAGGACAGAUCUCAUCACAAAGUACACAUUGUGACCUCCCUCCUUUACCCUACCCUUUCUGACAUCCCAACAUCCUCCACUGGAUGUAAGAUGACCUAGUCUCUCUUCUUCGCCUCUGCAGCCCUAGGACUUAGAAUCAUUUAAAAAAAAAAAAAAAAGACUUAGAAUCAUUUAAUAAAUAUUUAUGGGAUAAAUAAACAGGGAUUGAAAGGGAACUUUUUUUUUUUUGAGAUGGAGUUUUUGCUCAGUCAUCCAGGCUGGAGUGCAGUGGCGUGAUCUCGGCUUACUGCAACUUCGCUUCCUGAGUUCAAGUGAUUCUCAUGCCUCAUCCUCCCAAGUAGCUGGGAUUACAAGCGUCUGCUUGGAGUCAGCUUAACGGAGCUAUGUGCUCAGGGUCAGGGAAGAGAAGGAGGGACAAGGAAAGAAGCUAACAUGGCGUCUGAACAGCUCUUGGCUAAGAAAGAGAGAGUCAGUUAGGCUAACAAAAGGUAGGUUAUCACCCUCGCAGCUCUCCAGGACUGAAGGCCCUGAGCAGAGAUUCAUCCACAUGUUUAUUUGCUCUUUGACGGGUGAUUCUUACUAAUACACAGGUGUUCUAAAAAUACACGUAACUCAAGAAUAUACCAAGUAGGCAGCUGUCACCUGCCUACCACUAAUGACAAGCUACAAGGUAUCCUCCACAGAGGAGCCGUGCGGGGCAGGGUAAACAAUGUUUCUCAACAUCUUCCCCCUUCUUUGUUUCACAAAGCUAGGUAAGCAAACACAGCUCUAUCUUGGUGAACCAUUUCUUGGAGGCUUCUGGAUCCACACCUGCAGACUACACAAAGAGAAACAGAACAAAUUAAUAACAUAAUCAUAACAGCAAUCAUAGAUCCUCUAAGUGUUUGCAUCCAAAUUUUAGGGCGGCCAAUCCAUCAACAGCUUCCUCAAGCACUUCGGAAUCUGACUGACUACCUACCUUACAUAUUUUCUUAAGGAGUUGGGACCCAGAAAUCUUUUGGAAAAUAGGGCAAAGGUCAUUCUCCUGUAGCUAAUUCCUGCUAAAAAGGAGCGUCGAGAGCUCUCUGGGUUCCCCCUCUGUGCUUGCUGUCCAAAGUCCUUUCCAGGUGCGGAUUUAUUCUCUCCUGAUGAUGUUCAGUCUCAUACUUUUUAGAGUU